ACUGAACGCUGGCGGCAGGCUUCACACAUGCAAGUCGAGCGGAGAGAGGUAGCUUGCUACCGAUCUUAGCGGCGGACGGGUGAGUAAUGCUUAGGAAUCUGCCUAUUAGUGGGGGACAACAUUUAGAAAGGAAUGCUAAUACCGCAUACGUCCUACGGGAGAAAGCAGGGGAUCUUCGGACCUUGCGCUAAUAGAUGAGCCUAAGUCGGAUUAGCUAGUUGGUGGGGUUAAGGCCUACUAAGGCGACGAUCUGUAGCGGGUCUGAGAGGAUGAUCCGCCAUAUGGGGAAUGUGACACGGCCCAGACUCCUACGGGAGGCAGCAGUGGGGAAUAUUGGUCAAUGGGCGCAAGCCUGAUCCAGCCAUGCCGCGUGUGAGAAGAAGGCCUUAUGGUUGUAAAGCACUUUAAGCGAGGAGGAGGCUACUUUAGUUAAUACCUAGAGAUAGUGGACGUUACUCGCAGAAUAAGCACCGGCUAACUCUGUGCCAGCCGCCGCAGUAAAUC
rnacentral:rRNA from 1 species